rnacentral:lncRNA from 1 species
GUUUGUCCAACCAAGCCAUCAUAAGAGGAACCUGAUCCGUUACUGGAGUUAGAAGAACCGCCAGGAUAAUCAUGUUGUUCAAAGAACUGCUGUCUCUGAUUAAACUUCGAAGGCGGUGGUGGAAGGUUUCCUGCAGCAUUGUCCCAGGGUGCUGGCGGCAGCAACUCAGAAUCAGCAGAUUUGCUCAAGGAAGCCGGUUUGUCGUAUAUAGGCUGCCCACUGAGCAUAGGUGAGGAACCAGAGUCACCUGAAGGGUAAGGAGGUGAUGAUGUGCGAGUGCGAACAGAAUGAGCUGCAGGUUCUCUUGUUUCAGGGGAAUUCUCAGAUUUGUAGGUAUCACCACUAAGGUAAUCAACCAUGCCGGCAUUUGUAGCAAC